rnacentral:rRNA from 1 species
GCUGGCGGCGUGCCUAAUACAUGCAAGUCGAGCGAGCAGAACCAGCAGAUUUACUUCGGUAAUGACACUGGGGACGCGAGCGGCGGAUGGGUGAGUAACACGUGGGGAACCUGCCCCAUAGUCUAGGAUACCACUUGGAAACAGGUGCUAAUACCGGAUAAUAAAGCAGAUCGCAUGAUCAGCUUAUAAAAGGCGGCGUAAGCUGUCGCUAUGGGAUGGCCCCGCGGUGCAUUAGCUAGUUGGUAAGGUAACGGCUUACCAAGGCAAUGAUGCAUAGCCGAGUUGAGAGACUGAACGGCCACAUUGGGACUGAGACACGGCCCAAACUCCUACGGGAGGCAGCAGUAGGGAAUCUUCCACAAUGGACGCAAGUCUGAUGGAGCAACGCCGCGUGAGUGAAGAAGGUUUUCGGAUCGUAAAGCUCUGUUGUUGGUGAAGAAGGAUAGAGGUAGUAACUGGCCUUUAUUUGACGGUAAUCAACCAGAAAGUCACGGCUAACUACGUGCCAGCAGCCGCGGUAAUACGUAGGUGGCAAGCGUUGUCCGGAUUUAUUGGGCGUAAAGCGAGCGCAGGCGGAAGAAUAAGUCUGAUGUGAAAGCCCUCGGCUUAACCGAGGAAUUGCAUCGGAAACUGUUUUUCUUGAGUGCAGAAGAGGAGAGUGGAACUCCAUGUGUAGCGGUGGAAUGCGUAGAUAUAUGGAAGAACACCAGUGGCGAAGGCGGCUCUCUGGUCUGCAACUGACGCUGAGGCUCGAAAGCAUGGGUAGCGAACAGGAUUAGAUACCCUGGUAGUCCAUGCCGUAAACGAUGAGUGCUAAGUGUUGGGAGGUUUCCGCCUCUCAGUGCUGCAGCUAACGCAUUAAGCACUCCGCCUGGGGAGUACGACCGCAAGGUUGAAACUCAAAGGAAUUGACGGGGGCCCGCACAAGCGGUGGAGCAUGUGGUUUAAUUCGAAGCAACGCGAAGAACCUUACCAGGUCUUGACAUCUAGUGCCAUCCUAAGAGAUUAGGAGUUCCCUUCGGGGACGCUAAGACAGGUGGUGCAUGGCUGUCGUCAGCUCGUGUCGUGAGAUGUUGGGUUAAGUCCCGCAACGAGCGCAACCCUUAUUAUUAGUUGCCAGCAUUAAGUUGGGCACUCUAAUGAGACUGCCGGUGACAAACCGGAGGAAGGUGGGGAUGACGUCAAGUCAUCAUGCCCCUUAUGACCUGGGCUACACACGUGCUACAAUGGGCAGUACAACGAGAAGCGAGCCUGCGAAGGCAAGCGAAUCUCUGAAAGCUGUUCUCAGUUCGGACUGCAGUCUGCAACUCGACUGCACGAAGCUGGAAUCGCUAGUAAUCGCGGAUCAGAACGCCGCGGUGAAUACGUUCCCGGGCCUUGUACACACCGCCCGUCACACCAUGGAAGUCUGCAAUGCCCAAAGCCGGUGGCCUAACCUUCGGGAAGGAGCCGUCUAAGGCAGGGCAGAUGAC